rnacentral:rRNA from 1 species
GCGGGAACCUCAGGAGGGGUAACCCAUCUGAGGGGAGAGCGGCGAACGGGUGAGUAUCACGUGGGCAACCUGCCCCGGACACCGGGAUAACCCAGGGAAACCUGAGCUGAUACCGGAUACUCCGGAGCGAUCACAUGGUCGCUCCGGGAAAGCCUCGACGGUCCGGGAUGGGCCCGCGGCCUAUCAGCUUGUUGGCGGGGUAACGGCCCACCAAGGCGACGACGGGUAGCUGGUCUGAGAGGACGGCCAGCCACACUGGGACUGAGACACGGCCCAGACUCCUACGGGAGGCAGCAGUGGGGGAUCUUGCGCGAAUGCGCGAAAGCGUGACGCAGCGACGCCGCGUGGGGGAUGAAGGCCCUCGGGUCGUAAACCCCUUUCGGCAGGGACGAAGCGAAAGUGACGGUACCUGCAGAAGAAGUCCCGGCUAACUACGUGCCAGCAGCCGCGGCAACACGUAGGGGACGAGCGUUGCCGGAUUAUUGGGCGUAAAGCGCGCGUAGGCGGCCCGGAAAGUCGGUUGUGAAACCCGGGGCUCACCCCGGGACUGCAUCCGAUACUUCCGGGCUGGAGGAGGUAGGGGAGAUCGGAUUCCUGGUGUAGCGGUGAAAUGCCAGAUUCAGGAGGAACCCGGUGGCGAAGGCGGAUCUCUGGGCUUGCUGACCUGAGGGCGAAACUAGGGAGCGAAAGGAUUGAUACCUGGUAGUCCUACCGUAACUUGGGGCUAGUGUGGCGGAUUCGACCCGUCGUGCGAACUACGAUUAGCACCCCCUGGGAGUACGGCGCAGGCUAAACUCAAGGAUUACGGGG